rnacentral:tRNA from 1 species
UCUGGUUCGAGUCCAGGAUGGCCCACCUGAAGAGAGUUAAGAGUUUGAAGUUAAGAGUUAAGAGUCAAAAAACUGAUAACUCAUCACUAAAAACUCAUAACUUUUUGUCUGGGGGUUUAGCUCAGUUGGUAGAGCGCCUGCUUUGCAAGCAGGAUGUCAGCGGUUCGAGUCCGCUAACCUCCACCUAGAGAUAACUCAGGAAUAAAAAUAAGUGAGAAGAAGUCCAGCAACAUGGUGUGAAGCCAGACUGCUGGGUGAGAACUCAGCCAGAACCUGAAAACUGCAAAUCGGCCACCGGAAGAGAGAAAAAAUUUGAAGUUAAUAGUUAACAGUCAAAAAACUGAUAACUCAUCACUAAAAACUCAUAACUUUUUGUCUGGGGGUUUAGCUCAAUUGGUAGAGCCCUGCUUUGCAAGCCGAUAUCAGC